rnacentral:lncRNA from 1 species
AGGCAGAGCGAUUGCACGGUGUCCAUCAUCUUUUAACUUGAGGCCAUGGUUUGGGCUAGCAUAGUAGGCUCUCAUCGACUUAGGGCACCGACGACUAUAUUCCCUCUUACGGGGUGAUAAUGAUCUGACAAUCAUAAUCCCUCAAAAGAUCCAUCCAACGUCUUUGUCUCAUGUUUAACUCUCGCUGUGAAAGAUAUAUUUGAGACUCUUAUGGCCAGUGUAGAUUUCGAAGUCUGGCCAUAUAGGUAAUGCUGCCAUAACUUCAGGGUAAACAUAAUGGCUACCAGUUCCAAGUCGUGGGUAGGGUAGUUCUACUC